AGCCACUGUUAUUGGGAUUCGAUUAAGCCAUGCGAGUCGAGGGUGCUUCGGCAACCCGGCGAACUGCUCAGUAACACGUGGAUAAUCUACUCUCAGGUAGAGGAUAAACCCGGGAAACUGGGGCUAAUACUCUAUAGGAAAAAAAAUCUGGAAUGAUUUUUUUCCGAAAGAUUUUUCGCCUGAGAAUGAGUCCGCGGCCGAUUAGGUAGUUGGUAGGGUAAAUGCCUACCAAGCCGGCGAUCGGUACGGGUAGUGAGAGCUAUAGCCCGGAGUUGGGAACUGAGACACGGUCCCAGGCUCUACGGAGCGCAGCAGGCGCGAAACCUUCGCAAUGCCCGAAAGGGUGACGGGGGGAUCCCAAGUGCUGGCGUCAUGCGUUGGCUUUUCUUAAGUGUAAGGAGCUUAAGGAAUAAGGAGAGGGCAAGACCGGUGCCAGCCGCCGCGGUAACACCGGCUCUUCAAAUGGUGGCCAUUUUAUUGGGCUUAAAGCGUUCGUAGCUGGAUUUGUAAGUCCCUGGCGAAAUUCUAUUGCUUAACGAUAGAGCUUGCUGGGGAUACUGCUCAUCUUGAGACCGGGAGAGGCUAGAGGUACUCCUAGGGUAGGGGUGAAAUCCGUUAAUCCUAGGGGGACCACCUGUGGUGAAGACGUCUAGCUGGAACGGGUCUGACAGUGAGGAACGAAACCCAGGGGAGCAAACCGGAUUAGAUACCCGGGUAGUCCUGGGCGUAAACGAUGUGGGCUAGGUGUCACAUGAUCUUAGUGAUUGUGUGGUGCCGAAGGGAAACCGUUAAGCCCAUCGCCUGGGGAGUACGGUCGCAAGGCUGAAACUUAAAGGAAUUGGCGGGGGAGCACCACAAGGGGUGGAGCCUGCGGUUUA
rnacentral:rRNA from 1 species